rnacentral:rRNA from 1 species
AAUAGAUACCCCGGUAGUCCACGCCGUAAACGAUGAGUGCUAAGUGUUAGGGGGUUUCCGCCCCUUAGUGCUGCAGCUAACGCAUUAAGCACUCCGCCUGGGGAGUACGGUCGCAAGACUGAAACUCAAAGGAAUUGACGGGGGCCCGCACAAGCGGUGGAGCAUGUGGUUUAAUUCGAAGCAACGCGAAGAACCUUACCAGGUCUUGACAUCCCGCUGACCGCUAUGGAGACAUAGCUUUCCCUUCGGGGACAGCGGUGACAGGUGGUGCAUGGUUGUCGUCAGCUCGUGUCGUGAGAUGUUGGGUUAAGUCCCGCAACGAGCGCAACCCUUGUCCUUAGUUGCCAUCAUUCAGUUGGGCACUCUAAGGAGACUGCCGUACAAAUACGGAGGAAGGUGGGGAUGACGUCAAAUCAUCAUGCCCCUUAUGACCUGGGCUACACACGUGCUACAAUGGACGGUACAAACGGUUGCGAAGUCGCGAGACGGAGCCAAUCCGAGAAAGCCGUUCUCAGUUCGGAUUGCAGG